AAUAAAAUGGCUGAGUUUGUAAGCGAUAAAUUGUAAAUUUAUUGACGGGGUUUAUUAUCUCUUUUAUUA
rnacentral:tRNA from 1 species